rnacentral:rRNA from 1 species
AUUGCCCCAGUAACGGCGAGUGAAGCGGCAACAGCUCAAAUUUGAAAUCUGGCCCUAGGCCCGAGUUGUAAUUUGCAGAGGAUGCUUUGGGCGCGGUGCCUUCCGAGUUGCCUGGAACGGGACGCCAUAGAGGGUGAGAGCCCCGUCUGGUCGGACACCAAGCCUAUGUAAAGCUCCUUCGACGAGUCGAGUAGUUUGGGAAUGCUGCUCAAAAUGGGAGGUAUAUGUCUUCUAAAGCUAAAUACCGGCCAGAGACCGAUAGCGCACAAGUAGAGUGAUCGAAAGAUGAAAAGCACUUUGAAAAGAGAGUUAAACAGCACGUGAAAUUGUUGAAAGGGAAGCGUUCAUGACCAGACUUGGCCCGGUUGAUCAUCCAGCGUUCUCGCUGGUGCACUCUGCCGGUCCAGGCCAGCAUCAGUUCGCCGCGGGGGAUAAAGGUUUCGGGAAUGUGGCUCCUCGGGAGUGUUAUAGCCCGUUGCGUAAUACCCUGCGGUGGACUGAGGUCCGCGCUUCUGCAAGGAUGCUGGCGUAAUGGUCAUCAACGACCCGUCUUGAAACACGGACCAAGGAGUCGUCUUCGUAUGCGAGUGUUCGGGUGUAAAACCCCUGCGCGUAAUGAAAGUGAACGGAGGUGGGAGCUUCGGCGCACCAUCGACCGAUCCUGAUGUUCUCGGAUGGAUUUGAGUAAGAGCAUACGGGGCCGGACCCGAAAGAAGGUGAACUAUGCCUGUAUAGGGUGAAGCCAGAGGAAACUCUGGUGGAGGCUCGCAGCGGUUCUGACGUGCAAAUCGAUCGUCAAAUAUGGGCAUGGGGGCGAAAGACUAAU